UACGGAGGGGGCUAGCGUUGUUCGGAAUUACUGGGCGGAAAGCGUGCGCAGGCGGUUUUGUAAGUCAGAUGUGAAAUCCCCGGGCUUAACCUGGGAACUGCGUUUGAAACUACAAGGCUAGAGUGUGACAGAGGGGGGUGGAAUUCCACGUGUAGCAGUGAAAUGCGUAGAGAUGUGGAGGAACACCGAUGGCGAAGGCAGCCCCCUGGGUUAACACUGACGCUCAGGCACGAAAGCGUGGGGAGCAAACAGG
rnacentral:rRNA from 1 species